rnacentral:rRNA from 2 species
GCAAGUCGAACGGCAGCACGGAGCUUGCUCUGGUGGCGAGUGGCGAACGGGUGAGUAAUAUAUCGGAACGUACCCUAGAGUGGGGGAUAACGUAGCGAAAGUUACGCUAAUACCGCAUACGAUCUAAGGAUGAAAGUGGGGGAUCGCAAGACCUCAUGCUCGUGGAGCGGCCGAUAUCUGAUUAGCUAGUUGGUAGGGUAAAAGCCUACCAAGGCAUCGAUCAGUAGCUGGUCUGAGAGGACGACCAGCCACACUGGAACUGAGACACGGUCCAGACUCCUACGGGAGGCAGCAGUGGGGAAUUUUGGACAAUGGGCGAAAGCCUGAUCCAGCAAUGCCGCGUGAGUGAAGAAGGCCUUCGGGUUGUAAAGCUCUUUUGUCAGGGAAGAAACGGUGAGAGCUAAUAUCUCUUGCUAAUGACGGUACCUGAAGAAUAAGCACCGGCUAACUACGUGCCAGCAGCCGCGGUAAUACGUAGGGUGCAAGCGUUAAUCGGAAUUACUGGGCGUAAAGCGUGCGCAGGCGGUUUUGUAAGUCUGAUGUGAAAUCCCCGGGCUCAACCUGGGAAUUGCAUUGGAGACUGCAAGGCUAGAAUCUGGCAGAGGGGGGUAGAAUUCCACGUGUAGCAGUGAAAUGCGUAGAUAUGUGGAGGAACACCGAUGGCGAAGGCAGCCCCCUGGGUCAAGAUUGACGCUCAUGCACGAAAGCGUGGGGAGCAAACAGGAUUAGAUACCCUGGUAGUCCACGCCCUAAACGAUGUCUACUAGUUGUCGGGUCUUAAUUGACUUGGUAACGCAGCUNACGCGUGAAGUAGACCGCCUGGGGAGUACGGUCGCAAGAUUAAAACUCAAAGGAAUUGACGGGGACCCGCACAAGCGGUGGAUGAUGU